rnacentral:rRNA from 1 species
ACUCAAAUGAAUAGACGGGGGCCCGCACAAGCGGUGGAACAUGUGGUUUAAUUCGACGCAACGCGAAGAACCUUACCUACCCUUGACAUCCUCGGAAGCUGAUAGAGAUAUUGGUGUGCCUUCGGGAACCGAGAGACAGGUGCUGCAUGGCUGUCGUCAGCUCGUGUCGUGAGAUGUUGGGUUAAGUCCCGUAACGAGCGCAACCCCUGUCCUUAGUUGCUAGCGGGUAAAGCCGAGAACUCUAAGGAGACUGCCGGUGAUAAGCCGGAGGAAGGUGGGGAUGACGUCAAGUCCUCAUGGCCCUUACGGGUAGGGCUACACACGUGUUACAAUGGACGCUACAGAGGGAAGCGAAGCUGCGAAGUGAAGCGAAUCUCAGAAAGGCGUUCGUAGUCCGGAUUGGAGUCUGCAACUCGACUCCAUGAAGUUGGAAUCGCUAGUAAUCGCGGAUCAGAACGCCGCGGUGAAUACGUUCCCGGGCCUUGUACACACCGCCCGU